rnacentral:rRNA from 1 species
UUCGAUGCAACGCGAAGAACCUUACCUGGGCUUGACAUCCCGGGAAUCCCCUGGAAACAGGGGAGUGCCCUUCGGGAACCCGGUGACAGGUGGUGCAUGGUUGUCGUCAGCUCGUGUCGUGAGAUGUUGGGUUAAGUCCCGCAACGAGCGCAACCCCUACGUUUAGUUGCUAACGCGUGAAGGCGAGCACUCUAGACGAACUGCCGUUGACAAAACGGAGGAAGUGGGAUGACGUCAAAUCAUCAUACCCCUUAUGUUCUGGGCUACACACGUGCUACAAUGGCCGGUACAGACGGACGCAAAGCCGCGAGGUGGAGCAAAUCCUAAAAAGCCGGUCUCAGUUCGGAUUGCAGGCUGCAAUUCGCCUGCAUGAAGUCGGAAUCGCUAGUAAUCGCAGGUCAGCAUACUGCGGUGAAUACGUUCCCGGGCCUU